UACGGAGGGUGCAAGCGUUGUCCGGAUUUAUUGGGUUUAAAGGGUGCGUAGGCGGCCCUGUAAGUCCGUGGUGAAAUCCAACAGCUCAACUGUUGAACUGCCAUGGAUACUGCAGGGCUUGAGUACAGACGAGGUAGGCGGAAUGGAUAGUGUAGCGGUGAAAUGCAUAGAUACUAUCCAGAACACCGAUUGCGUAGGCAGCUUACUAGGCUGUAACUGACGCUGAGGCACGAAAGCGUGGGGAGCAAACAGG
rnacentral:rRNA from 1 species